GAUGAACGCUGGCGGCGUGCUUAACACAUGCAAGUCGAACGAUGAAGCCCAGCUUGCUGGGUGGAUUAGUGGCAAACGGGUGAGUAACACGUGAGUAACCUGCCCUUAACUCUGGGAUAAGCCUGGGAAACUGGGUCUAAUACCGGAUAGGAGCGUCCACCGCAUGGUGGGUGUUGGAAAGAUUUAUCGGUUUUGGAUGGACUCGCGGCCUAUCAGCUUGUUGGUGAGGUAAUGGCUCACCAAGGCGACGACGGGUAGCCGGCCUGAGAGGGUGACCGGCCACACUGGGACUGAGACACGGCCCAGACUCCUACGGGAGGCAGCAGUGGGGAAUAUUGCACAAUGGGCGCAAGCCUGAUGCAGCGACGCCGCGUGAGGGAUGACGGCCUUCGGGUUGUAAACCUCUUUCAGUAGGGAAGAAGCGAAAGUGACGGUACCUGCAGAAGAAGCACCGGCUAACUACGUG
rnacentral:rRNA from 1 species